GUUUUCCACUAUGCCACCCUGAAAUGCACCCCAUCUCAUCUGGUCCUGGAAAUUAAGCAGCAUUGGACCUGACUAGUGUGUGGGUGGAAGAAU
ensembl:rRNA 5S_rRNA 5S ribosomal RNA